GAUGAACGCUGGCGGCGUGCCUAAUACAUGCAAGUCGAGCGAACAGACGAGGAGCUUGCUCCUCUGACGUUAGCGGCGGACGGGGGAGUAACACGUGGAUAACCUACCUAUAAGACUGGGAUAACUUCGGGAAACCGGAGCUAAUACCGGAUAACAUGUUGAACCGCAUGGUUCAACAGUGAAAGACGGUCUUGCUGUCACUUAUAGAUGGAUCCGCGCCGCAUUAGCUAGUUGGUAAGGUAACGGCUUACCAAGGCAACGAUGCGUAGCCGACCUGGGAGGGUGAUCGGCCACACUGGAACUGAGACACGGUCCAGACUCCUACGGGAGGCAGCAGUAGGGAAUCUUCCGCAAUGGGCGAAAUCCUGACGGAGCAACGCCGCGUGAGUGAAGAAGGUCUUCGGAUCGUAAAACUCUGUUAUUAGGGAAGAACAAAUGUGUAAGUAACUAUGCACGUCUUGACGGUACCUAAUCAGAAAGCCACGGCUAACUACGUG
rnacentral:rRNA from 1 species